GACGAACGCUGGCGGCGUGCUUAACACAUGCAAGUCGAACGGAAAGGCCCUGCUCUUGUGGGGUUCUCGAGUGGCGAGCGGGGGUGUAACACGUGAGUAACCUGCCCUUGACAGUGGGGUAACUUCAUGAAACUGGGGCGAAUAUCGGAUAGGAGCUUCUGCGGCACGGUGCGGGUUGGAAAGUUUCGGCGGUUGGGGAUGGACUUGAGGCCUAGCAGCUUGUUGGUUGGGUGGUGGCUUACCAAGGCUUUGACGGGUAGCCGGCCUGGGAGGGUGACAGGGCCCAUUCGGACUGAGAUACGGGCCAGAGUGCAACGGUGGGCAGCAGUGGGGAAUAGUGCGAACUGGGCGGAAGCCGGGUACAGCAACGUCGCGUCGGGGAGCACGGUCUUCGGGUUGUAAACCGCUUUCGCCUGUGACGAAGCGUGAGUGACGGUAAUGGGUAAAGAAGCGCCGGCUAACUACGUG
rnacentral:rRNA from 1 species